rnacentral:rRNA from 1 species
GGUUGACCUCGAAUCAGGUAGGGAAUACCCG